UGUCUCAGUUUUCUUCGUCCGCUUGGCCUUCUUUUCGUUCUUUCUAGUCUUAUUUAUCUCUCUUCCUUCUCUCUUGUCCGUUGAUUUCGUCCCGACUUCGUUCUCUUUCUUGUCCGUCCAUCGCUCUGAGAUACCACGGCGGAAGUAGCCCAAUCCUCGCGUAGCCGGAAAAUCAGCCGGAAACGGUCGUGAUCUCCACGGGACGCGUUUGCCCUAACAAUUAGACGCGUGUUCUGGUAAGACGCGAAGAUUUUCCAGAAUUCUUUCGUUCUAGGGCUCGAUCUCGCUGGUUGAGGUGCUUCGAGGGUGAUUCGGAGUGAAUUAGGGUUCCUUCAGUGCGCCGGUCCGAUCUAGGGUUUGGAGGAAAGGAUAAGGUUCUGGGAUUGAGGAGAAGGCGAGAGAUUGUUCGGACGAAAGAGGGUUGAAUUGAUGUGUCGCCCCGGGGGUGAAGGAGCGGCUUUAACCCUGGGGGAAGAUGCAAGGCUAUGCAUGGGGGAGAAGGUGAGGACCGAAGACGGAAGCGGCACAUGCGGCCGGACCCCCUUCGUUCGGCGACGACAGUAGCGAAUUCUUCGCUUUCUGAAGGGGCCUAUUUCUGCAAGGAUGGUCGCAAGAUCAGCGUUGGUGAUUGUGCACUUUUCCAAGCUGAAGGUUCUCCACCCUCCAUUGGUAUAAUUCGUUGGUUGACAACAAAUAAAGAGGACUUUCCCAAACUUUGUGUUUAAGUGCCAACUAGUUCAAUGUCACACAGUUUUGUGGACCCCGUCCUGAUGACAAUGUGGAAUCUUUUGGAGGCACUUCUAACUCCACAAAUGUUUGUCCAGUCCAGGCAUGUCCAACCCAAAAUUUCUAUGAAUAAAGUUGGAUAUCGUUUAAAAAGCCCUAGCAUCUCUAUGUUUCUGCCAUACGCUUCAUGCUUUUAUUAUCUUAUGUCUGACCUUGAUUUGGAUCUUGAUGUCAUGCUGGCACCAAUUGCUGCUCUGGUUGUAGUUUCUUCUCUCAUUGAAGAGUGCAUACUAAAGAGUACAGUAAAAUUAACUAAAAACAUCUGUGUAAGUACCCUUGUUUUUGUUCAUGCAUUGGCAUGUGUAAAUGGUUUUCUAGUGUUCAGGACUUUAAGCUGCACAUAAUUUGUUUGACUUGGAGAUGUUUCCUUUAUCCUUUUUUCAAUGCUAAAAAUUGAGUUGAUUGUAGAAGCAUUAGCUUUGGUUAUGCACAUGUAAGCCAAUUAGUGGGUCAAGGUCUAAUUUGAUUUAAGUUUCAUGUGGAAAUAAUUGGUUAUCAACAACAACAUUGUGAUGCUUGGGGUUAUUUGGGGCUUUGGAUUUUGGUAUCAUAAAAAUGAGACUUUAGCUUACGAUGCUUCCUUUUUUACUAAUGUUUGAUCCUUCUUUUUGUGCUUUUAGUGUUUUUUGAUAGAAGAACUUAACUCAAACCAUUUGUGAAACUUUCAAUCAGUUGAAUACCCAACUUUUCUGGAACCCGUCACCCUUAAACCAACCUUUUGUAUAGAAGACCCUACUUUUAUGGGAGAUUUGGUGAAGUUCAUUCUUUUAACCAGCCAAGUUUUACAUUCAACCAUCUUUUUAGGGAGUAUAGUUCCUUUCUCCUAGUGAUAUGCCAUUUGAUGUCAAUAAUUUUUGUAAAAGAGAAACUUUUCAGUUUUGAUAAAAACAUUUUGGAAGUGUUUUCUCACACAAUGAUGUGCCUUGAUUUAUUCUUAGUACCUUCCAAGUGGAAGGUGGAAAUUUCAAGUUCUUGUAGUCCAUCAACGGAAGAGGAAAAUUGAAAAAAAUCCUGGAUAUGAGCAUUGAAGAAAAAUCCUAUGAAGUUGAGAAAGUCAAGACUAGGAAAUGCUAUUGAGUCUGGCGAUCAAGCGUCUGCAAGGAUCUAGCAAGAAAAUAUCUUGACGGAGAAGCCAAAAUGUUCUAUAAGAUCUUGGCAGGUAGCAAAAUGAGAGUUGAGAGAUGGGCUCGGGGCUUGUGUAGUCGUUCCUCUGAGUCAAUAAUCGAGAGUAUCGGGUAGGCAUAAAGGUGAUUUAUGUCUAUUUCGCGAAGAUAAUGACUUACGAACUUUUGGCUCGUUGAAAACCCGUAAGGUGAAGCGGGUUGGACACGUCACAAAGCUAUACAUAACCACCAAAGCGGUGGAGCUUCGUAGUAGCCUUUGGGGUGGUGAGGUAUUCCCUCAAAGGUGAAGGUCGGCUCAAAAAAAAAAAAAUCUAGUGUUCUGAAAAAAAGUUUGAAAGGCAAAAAGCCGAAUGCAAAAGAAAAAAAUGAAGAAAAAACAAGAAAAAAGCAAAAUGUGCCUGCCAAAAGAUGAAAUACAUGAAGGCUGAACUCGCAAGAAUUGAAUGCGACAAUCUUUCGUGGAUGUACGAUUUUGGGGUCAAUAUCUGCUCCUUUUUUUUAUUAUCUAGGAUGUCGAGGAUGAUUUCUUUUUGUUAAUAUUUUGGAAAUUGAAAGACAUUCUCUCUAGAGAUUGGACAACAUUGAUGCGAAAUAAAACCUAAUGCUUGUAUGGUACUAAAAGGACACAAAGGUUAUAUUAUUUGCACAACACGAGCACUCAAGCCUAUGAGUUGAAUUGAUCAUUUUUGAACUAUUUCGAAAUUCAAAGUAAAAACUUGACGUCUCUUGUAUGUUUCAAGAGCUUCCUAGCCAUUGUAAAAACUAACCAAUCCCCCUUUGGUCUUAAAAAUGUUUGCCCAUUUCAUUACCAAAUUGUUGGUCCUUCUGUGAAAUAGAUGAAACCCCUCAAACCUAGUCCAACCAUGCUGUGCGUGAUGAAUUAUCCAUCAUUUCCUGUUUAGUCCAUCUUAACUGCGUAACCCAAACUUAAUGUUUUUCUUUUCAAAAGCACUAGGUGAUAUUUUUCAAAAGUUCUUCGAAGUUGCAUGGCUGUAUGUCCUUGGCUUCACUUAAUUUUUUUUUUGUGAGUUGUAUAAAUUUCAUCUGUUUCCUCUUUAUUCUUUGUUUCAUUCUAGCUGCAGUUAAAAUCUUUUUUGUGGUAUAGUUCUGUAAUAAAAGGAUGAGCCAUAUUCUUAAAUGUUACUAAUUUAGGGCUCCACCCAUGUCUGUAUCCAUGCAUUUUUAUGUAGGGUACUUAUUUUUUUUUUUUUAAUUCCUCUAGCAGUUGGGUGGUCCCUUUAUUUUAAUUUACAUGUGGCUAGACAUGAUCCUGAAUUGUCUUUUGGUUGUCUUUUAUUUCCAAGAGGCCUCUACCUGGUGGAGGCUAGAUUUCUCAUUUUGGAUCUGAGAGUGACUACAUAAAUUUUAUAUGAGGUAAAUGGUUCCAGCUUGGUGUAUUUAGACAAUGCAGCUACACCUCAAAAGCCAUUUGCUGUUUUGGAAGUUGUCCAUGAUUAUGUGAGGGAUACAACUCGAAUGGUCACCAGAAUAUUCAUUACCUAAGCAACAAUGGAGAUCAGGGUUUUGUUAUCGCAGCAGCAAUAGAGAUCAGGGUUUCGCUGAAUCUGCAAUGGAGGUGGAGGUUCUGGUUUCUGCCAUCCGAUCGAAUCUGUUCACCGGAGAUCCAGCAAUGGUUCGCCGGAAAAUCAGAAUCAUCUUUUGAUUCGCCAUGGACGAGUUCAACCUCUCCAAGGCCAAGAUCGGGUACAGCUCCUCCAAGAGAGUGAAGGCUCAAAUCUGUGAUGUCGCUGGCUCUGAGAGGAACUGAAUUCUCAAGCACAUGCAAUCCCAUUAGCAGCAAGGCUCAUGUCAAGUCCAGGGGAACAGCUUGCAGCAGUGUCAUUGUUGCUAGAACUACCAAAGAACUGUUUAUCUUUAUGUGAGAAAAUUGGCUCCAGAGCUGGUGCCAUUCUACUUUUGAUUACAAUAAAAAUACAAUACUACUGAUUCAAUGGUAGACGAAAAAACAAACAUGACCCUAAACAACUUGGUGAAGUGUCCAGAAAAUAUCAAGAUCAUGGCAGAAAAUGGACUUUUGGAACCUCUUCUUAGCAACCUCAUUGAAGUGACAGAGAGGAGUUUAAUGUUUUGAGGGGGCAAGAUGUCCAGAGUGGAGACCGUGGAGGCAGUCCUGAGUAGGGAGCGCCGGGGUGGGGCUGAUGUGUUCGGGCAAGCUGUUAGCGGCAUUGCGGGAAUCGUCCCCUCCUCUCUUGCAAGGAGCGCAGAUAUUGAUGCGAUACUCAGAGCAGCUGACGAAGUACAAGAAGAUGAUCCCAAUGUCGCUCGGAUUUAUGUUGAGAUGCUAGGACCGUGGUGCUCUUGUUUGCAGCUUUUUCAUGUGAAAACAGUCUGGAUCUCAGCAAGGAGAAGAAGAUAACACUGAUUUCCUUGUACUUCUUGAUCUGGGGCAUCAGAUUCUUGCCUGAGUGCUUAUGUUACAUUUUUCAUCAUAUGGUAAGAGAGAUGGAAGAGAUGUUGCGGCAGCGUGUGGCACAACCAGCCAACAGUUGCUCUUCUUCUAGUGGUGUUUCAUUCCUUGACCAAAUAAUUUCUCCGCUUUAUGCUGCGGUGUUUAGCUAAACAUUAAAGCGGAUAGGCGUUCGAGGCCGGGCAACAAGCAUUUUUUCAAAACUCACUUAUUUGAGCAGCGCUGGCAUUUUUUUAGCGAUGGUGGAGAAACCAGAGUCCUAUGGUACAGAAAAUUGUGAAAGAACUAGUUGACUCGGACAGCUUGAAUUUAUGUACGAAUAAUCUGAUUUUUCCAAUCUGUUGCAGCCAUGUUUUCAAUUAGGUGUUCUCGUUUCCCCUUUUCCUAUGAUGUUCAACCAUGGAUGGUGGUUUUGGAAUUAAUGGACACACCUGCCUUUUGGCAUUGUAGAAAUGGUGGUAUGUGUAUGCAUGACGGAGCUGCACCCCACUACAUCGAUAUGAUUAAACAGACGACUCUAGGUGAUCGGUUUAUAAAGGAAAAGUUUGGCAAGACACCUAUAGAAUUGGUUGACGGAUUGAUUCAUUUGGACACUCAACGGUACAAGCUUAUUUGCGUAGUGCAGAAGUGCGUUUUCUGCUGCUACUUUUUGUACUUAAUUUUUUAAUUUGGCUUUGGUCUUGAUCUUUUUUCCACCUGGUGAGGAGGCUAUGUCACAAGAACACUCCAUUUUGAUUCUCAUUAGGUAUCCCUUGACAUAGAAAUUACAUUGGAAAGUUGAAAGGAAAUCUGGGGCCUGCAUGAUGUUAUUACUCUUCCCCCCACUGAAUCCGGUGAAUGGUGAGCUCCACUUUGCAAAGGAUACAAAGUAGCAUCUCCAAGAAUAUAGCAUAUCCAUAACAUAAUGUGAUUAGCAAAAGUAGAAGAUUAAGAAAGGAAAAAAAUAAAUCCCUACCGCGAUGACAAUUACUCAAACGAGUUUGUGGAGCCUUAAUCGAGUCGAGGUCGAGCUCAACAAGUAAUGGUGAGUAUCAAACAAGUUUGUCGAGCCUUACUCGAGAUGAGAUCGAGCUCAACACGGGACUGUCGAGCUCGAGCCGCUGUGGUCAAGGUUAUCGAGCUCGAGGUUUCCUUUAGUCGAGCCGAGUUCGAGCUGACUGAACUUGCGCUCGACUCGGCUUGUGCUCACCCCUAGUCUUCUCUAAGGAGACACAAGGCCAGGUGAGAAAUAAGAUAUCAUUCAAUAGGCAGACAUGGAUUCCACCAUCAGUUCGUGCACUCCUGCUCAAGUAGAAGUCGAAAAGAGUAAAAUCUCAAGAUAUGACCAAAACAAACCGACAGAAGAGAGAUAAUGCCAUAAGAUUUGUAAUGCUUGCUAACAUCUCUGAACUGAAUUCUCAAGCACAUGCAAUCCCAUUAGCAGCAAGGCUCAUGUCAAGUCGAGGGGAACAGCUUGCAGCAGUGUCAUUGUUGCUAGAGCUAUCAAAGAACUGUUUAUCUUUAUGUGAGAAAAUUGUCUUUAUGUGAGAAAAUUGGCUCCAGAGCUGGUGCCAUUCUACUUUUGAUUACAAUAAAAAUACAAUACUACUGAUUCAA